UACGUAGGGUGCGAGCGUUAAUCGGAAUUACUGGGCGUAAAGUGUGCGUAGGCGGCCGCGCAAGUCGAGUGUGAAAUCCCCGAGCUUAACUUGGGAAUUGCGCUCGAAACUACGUGGCUGGAGUGUGGCAGAGGAAGGUGGAAUUCCACGUGUAGCGGUGAAAUGCGUAGAGAUGUGGAGGAACACCGAUGGCGAAGGCAGCCUUCUGGGCCAGCACUGACGCUCAUGCACGAAAGCGUGGGGAGCAAACAGG
rnacentral:rRNA from 1 species